UCUUGUGUCUUUGCCUUCUGUGUAUGUCCGGGAAUGGAGAGUUGGGGGUGAGAGCAGCCGGCGGCUGCUCACGGCCGAAGGCGGCGCGGCGGCAAGCCACCGCCUUUUUCCUUUUUCUGUCUGAAACAACCGAGAGAGAGAGAGAUUAGGUUAAAGAAAAAAAAAGGGGAAAGAAAGAAGAGAGGGAGGGGAGGACUUAUCUUCUCCGGUGACGACGACGCGGCGGCAUCGGCAGCGGCGACACGGCGGCGGGAGCAACGGGCUGUUCCUGACCGACCGGAAAAGAGGAAAAGAGGGGGGGAAUUUCAGAUCUGGGUUUAAAAAUAGAAAAGAGAGGAAAAGGGGGAAGAUUUGGAACCUACCUUUCCGGCGAGGCAAGGCUCGGCCUCCACCGCGAUUCCAGCCAGACGGACGACGGAGGAGGUAGCCCCAGUGACCGUGAGUCCGAGAGAAAGGGAGAUGGCCGAGGGAGGAAGGGAGAAGAGGAGUGAGCAGAGGGAGGCGCCGGCAACGGCGGCUUUGCUGCUACUGUCCGGCCAACGAUGGAGAGUGAGAUGGAGAGAAGGGCGGCGGCCAUGGCUGUCCUGUGGUCGCCGGAGCAGCUCACGGCGGAGCUCGCGAGGAAACAGUGAGAGAGGCGAGAGAGAGAGUGUUGUGUGUGCUGAGUGUGUGUAUUUGUGUGAUAUGUGUGUGUUUUGUAUAUUUAUAUGUGUGUUAUAGAAUUAGGGUUUAAAUUUUAGGAUUUAUUAUUUAAUUUGUGUGGGCCGAAAAUUUUUAUAAAAAAAGAAAGAGAGUGGGCCGAUUUUUAUUUCUAUGUGGGCCGAUUUUAUUUUAAUUCUGCUGGGCCCUUUUUGUUCUUAAUUGAUGGGUUUUUAUUUUAGUUGUGUGGACUAAUUUUAUUUAAAUGCUUGGGCUAUUGUUUUAAAUAUAGGCCUACGAAUCUUGGCCUUAUUUUUUUUAAAAAAAAAA
rnacentral:lncRNA from 1 species